AGGGUUCGAUUCUGGCUCAGGAUGAACGCUGGCGGCGUGCUUAACACAUGCAAGUCGAACGGGAAACCUUUUAUUGAAGCUUCGGCAGAUUUAGCUGGUUUCUAGUGGCGGACGGGUGAGUAACGCGUGGGUAACCUGCCUUAUACAGGGGGAUAACAACCAGAAAUGGUUGCUAAUACCGCAUAAGCGCACAGGACCGCAUGGUCCGGUGUGAAAAACUCCGGUGGUAUAAGAUGGACCCGCGUUGGAUUAGCUAGUUGGCAGGGUAACGGCCUACCAAGGCGACGAUCCAUAGCCGGCCUGAGAGGGUGAACGGCCACAUUGGGACUGAGACACGGCCCAG
rnacentral:rRNA from 1 species